UGCAGACAACUUCAAAUCCUCCAGCAUCUAUAUCUACCAUGGUGGCUGCCAGUGCUGAGCAGCUAGUUGACGCACACGUGAUGAAAGAAAAAGAAGUGCAGGUGGAUGAAUUCGCCUGAAAAUGCUGCUGUAGUUAAGGGCGGUUCGGACAGGGAUGAAGAAUCUGUUGUUCGAAAUUGUUCAAGUGUGGCUAGAGCCGCGUGGAUAUCAUCCGAACAUCUGCCUAAAUCAUCCAAGAGGAGCCCACUAUCCGUUUUACAUCAAGCAAUACUGGUGGAGUAACUCCCGAUAUAAUAGUAAAAGCAGGAUGUGUGGGUGUAUGCGUCUUAAGAGAUUUGAUAUUUCUCCAAGAGACCUUACUGUGAGGCAAGUUUCCAAGAAGAGUACAACUUCCACAAGAUCCAUUAGUGUCAAAGUCAAGGUUGGGUUGAUAUUUAACUUCUCUGCAAGUUCAAAUAGGUGCUGCUAUGCAGCAUUUGGCUUCAUGUGCCUAUUAAUACAUCAAUGCUGGAUAUGAAUUGGAGCAAGAAAAAUGCAGCCUUUGAGUCCAUAGAUGAGCUUUGUUAGACAAACGUUAAAAAAUAACUUAACGAGGUGAAGUUUGAGCGUCACCCGAUUAUGGUUCCAACUCUAAGGUGGCAAGCACAUCUCUAUGUAGAGUGUAGUGGAAGCCUGAUGCAUAUGAAAACUCAAAUCCUCCUGCCUCUAUAUCUACCGAGU